GCUGCACGCAAUGUUGAUGGUGAACAGAUCAAAACACUGACAGAAUCCAUGGAUGGCAGGCUUUUGAGUGUCCAUGCAAAGAAAGGUGGCUAUAUUGGUCACUGAUUUGUUUUUGUUUUGUUUUUGAAUGUCAGAAAUGUAUAUUUGUGAAUGUUGAGAUGUUAUAUUGGUUUCACUGGUAAUAAUAAAUAAUUGAAAUGGGUAUAUAUUUGUUUUUUGUUAAG